AAUCAACGCUGGCGGCGUGCCUCAGACAUGCAAGUCGAACGCGAAAGUUUCCUUCGGGGAACAAGUAGAGUGGCGCACGGGUGAGUAACACGUAGGUAAUCUACCUUUGGAUGGGGAAUAACAACCGGAAACGGUUGCUAAUACCGCAUAAUGCAGCGGCACCUAAUGGUGACAGUUGUUAAAGCGGGGGAUCGAAAGACCUCGCGUCUGAAGAGGAGCCUGCGGCGGAUUAGCUAGNGGUAAGGUAAUGGCUUACCAAGGCGACGAUCCGUAACCGGCCUGAGAGGGGCGGUCGGUCACACUGACACUGACAUACGGGUCAGACUCCUACGGGAGGCAGCAGUCGGGAAUUUUGGGCAAUGGGCGAAAGCCUGACCCAGCAACGCCGCGUGAAGGAUGAAAUCCCUCGGGAUGUAAACUUCGCAAGAACGGGAAGAAUAAGCGAGAGUUAAUAUCUUUCGUG
rnacentral:rRNA from 1 species